CCUACGGGAGGCUGCAGUGGGGAAUAUUGGACAAUGGGGGGAACCCUGAUCCAGCCAUGCCGCGUGUGUGAAGAAGGCCCUCGGGUUGUAAAGCACUUUCAGUGAGGAAGAACGCCUGGUGGUUAAUACCCAUCAGGAAAGACAUCACUCACAGAAGAAGCACCGGCUAACUCCGUGCCAGCAGCCGCGGUAAUACGGAGGGUGCGAGCGUUAAUCGGAAUUACUGGGCGUAAAGCGCGCGUAGGUGGCUUGAUAAGCCGGUUGUGAAAGCCCCGGGCUCAACCUGGGAACGGCAUCCGGAACUGUCAAGCUAGAGUGCAGGAGAGGAAGGUAGGAUUCCCGGUGUAGCGGUGAAAUGCGUAGAGAUCGGGAGGAAUACCAGUGGCGAAGGCGGCCUUCUGGACUGACACUGACACUGAGGUGCGAAAGCGUGGGUAGCAAACAGGAUUAGAUACCCCUGUAGUC
rnacentral:rRNA from 1 species